GGGGGGGGGGGGGGGGGGGCGGUGGGCCGGGGGGGCGGGGGGCGGCGCGGGGGGCGGGCUGGCGACGAGUGGCGGCCGGGUGAGUAACGUAGCGGCACGUGCCCAGUCGCUGGGGAUAACUCCGCGAAAUCGUAGCUAAUACCUCAUAGGACCUACGCGUGAAAUCCGCGUAGCACACGCCCUCGCACCAUUUGCUCUACCGACAUCGGAGUAGCUAGGUGGUGAGGUAACGGCUCACCCAGGCGACGUGCCGUAGCUGGUUUGAGAGGACGACCAGCCACACUGGUACUGAGACACGGCCCAGACUCCUACGGGAGGCAGCAGUGGGGAAUUUUGGACAAUGGGGGCAACCCUGAUCCAGCCAUCCCGCGUGUGCGAUGAAGGCCUUCGGGUUGUAAAGCACUUGUGGCAGGAAAGAAACGUCGCGGGCUAAUACCCCGUGGAACUGACGGUACCUGCAGAAUAAGCACCGGCUAACUACGUG
rnacentral:rRNA from 1 species